GACGAACCGUGCGAACGUUGUUCGGAUUCACUGGGCUUAAAGGGCGCGUAGGCGGGCGGUCAAGUCAGGGGUGAAAUCUUUCGGCUCAACCGGAAAAGUGCCUUUGAUACUGGCCGUCUCGAGGGAGGUAGGGGCAUGCGGAACUUCCGGUGGAGCGGUGAAAUGCGUAGAUAUCGGAAGGAACGCCGGUGGCGAAAGCGGCGUGCUGGGCCGACACUGACACUGAGAGACGAAAGCUAGGGGAGCGAAUGGG
rnacentral:rRNA from 1 species